rnacentral:lncRNA from 1 species
UUUUCUUUGGUAACUUUUGUGGUGCUACUGUGUAAUCGCGGCUCUUGCAACUGCGAAGAUUAUGUUUUGGUUGCGUUGGAGUAAAUUAACACGGAUGUUGUUGAGUAGCUUUAUCUUUUCUUUUACUCCGUUAUUAUGUCGCAUCCUUACAUUUGAAGGGAGAAAAAGAGUUCAUGAUUAAGGGCAACGGCAGUAACUCCCCAGUUUGUUUUCCUAUGCCUAGAUAUGAUGGGAGGAAUGGAUUUGAAGUCGAUGUGUAUUGUCGAGGUGGAUUAAGAUGAAUAAAGUAUUCAAAUGCUUUAUAUGUUCUGCGUAUGAGAAAUUGCUUAUUUGCCGGAGUGAUUAAACGGCUAGAUUCAUUUUUAUGAAUUUAACAUAUUACCAAAUUCAGUUUUUCAAGAUGUUCGUAUGGAGGAUAGUUGAGAUGAGAAAAAUGAUGAGAUUUUAGAAUUGGAAUCUUUUGGUUAGAUGAGGAAGGACAAAGCGAUAUUCCUUCCUAUUAGUAGCAAAAAUAAUUUUUAAUGGUUUCAUUAUUGGUGACGUACAUGCAUCGAGAAGUUUCAUCUAGGAAAAUGGUUAAGAGAAACUUAUAGCAUGUUAUGUAUAUGAAUCUUUUUGGGUAAAAGAUAAUGGUGAGCUUGAAUUUUCUGGGAAGAAGCCUAUGUUGCUUUUAGUAGAGUGGAUAUUAGUGCGUAGGAGAUGGUGACGACAGAUAUUCAGCCUAAUGUUUCCUUGUAAAUGUCAGGUAGAGAUGCUGAUAGAACUUGUGGUUGAUUUGUAGCUCUGAUCAAAAGGGGUAAGUCAUGAGAAGUUUAGAAUGAUGGUUUAUUUGGAAAUAUUUUGGAUAUGCUGGUUGAAGUGGGGAAAGUUACUUGAAAGUGGAAACUAACUGAUGGUCAAAGUUGCAUAUCAUUGAUAAGUGAAUAACUGAGAUCAUAGUGCAGCAGUUAUGAACUUCUGUUUACUUCUCAAAUGUGUUAUGAAGGAAUGUAGUUCAGUGACUUCUGCUCUGAUGGAGUGUGCAAUAUUGCGACUUAUUUGUGUAUUAGAAGUCUCAGUCACACGCCUUAUGUCUGAGCUUGAAGGCAAUUAGUUUGAUCGUAAUUUCUUGUUUUACCAAAGGCAUGUCUGUUAGUUGGGCAUAUUUUUGUUCUUCUUAAAAUUUAUUUCUGAAUCUAUAGUGGUAAGACCUGUUGAAUGAGGCCUUCUAUCUUAUUAUGCUUGUUGUUUAUCUAGUUUUAAAUUUGCCUGGCAGGUUUAAUUGUGGGGAAAGUGGGAUCAGCUAUGUGAAAAUAAGUAUUUUUAAUGCCACUCUUAAAUUGUACAAUGGGAUUUUCUAAGUUAAGAAUGGACAUGCAAAGGGAAAAUCACCAUUUAGUUUGAAAUGAGAAUAAGAAAGCUGUGCCUUGUGAACUUUUUGGUAUCUGUAGCAACUUUUUACUGGUAUCAUCUCCAGGAUUAAGAGUGAACCAAGAAUUAUUAGGCUAUGGUUUGAGUGGGAAGAGUUGACUUUCUUUAGGAAAUAUGAGUGCCCUUUAUAGAUGGCUAAGGGACUGACUGAAGUAAAUUAAAUUAGUUUUAUAUAUACAUUAAAUUGGCAUAUAGAUUUUUCCCUCUGGCUCCACAAUUUUCAAUGUGGAACCAACGUUAUUAUAGACACAGAAGUAAGCAAAAGGUUACUGAGGCUUAUGGGUUGAACUCUAGAUUUUUCUAUGUUUUUUUUAUUUUAUUCUUUAUUUUUUCCUUUUUUUUUUGUUGAAGUAUUGUCCAACCUACAGUGUUUCUUCUGUAUAAAUCAUGGCAGAAAGUUUUCGUAACUAUAUAUUGAAAGCAUAAAUUUUUUAUUACAUAUGAAAUGAUAUUAUGUUUGUUUUUGUUUAGCUGUGUUUAAGAUGAAUGGGUUUUCUGUUAUGUCCUUGCAUUGUUUAUCUUUUCAAAUAUGCAAAUUGUUUUCUUGUGAGCAAUCAUCUUCCUACCUUUGCAUUUUCAUUUUCAGAAGCAUAUUGAUGGAAUUUUUUCUUGCUGUCUCUCUCUCUCUCUCUCUCUCCCCCCCUCAUCUCUUUCUUUCACUAUUUUUCCUUCAGAUUGUGUCAUAUUUAUUUGAAUGACUUGCCACGUCCACUGAAUCAUGUCAUCAAGUACACUGACUGGAGAGCGAAGGUAUUUUCUUUUCUUGUUUGGUCUUUGGAUUUCUAUUGUCUUUGAUCUUUUGAGUGUCAGUUUAAAAUCUCGAUUAUUGAAAUGCUUCAGGCUAUGACUUGCUUUGCAGCUUUCUAUGCAUGAUUUAGAUGUUAUGAAUUACUGGUUUAACUUUAGAAUUAGGAGCUUGUUGUACUGAAAGUUUAUUUUAGAAAGAGCAGUGCCUAACAAAGUAGAUAUUAGCUGAUUAAAGAGAAUAGGUAUGGACGGUUCAGUUUAUUGUAUUCUAAAAUUUAACCAACUUAUUUCAUAGUACUUAAAAAAAGGUGAAAUCUGUACAUCCAAUCCAUGCAAUAUUCCUUGUGGCAAUUAAAAACUGGGUGAUGAUUUUUGUCCCCCUAUGUUCCUCUUGUGAUAUGCAGCCAGCCAAUGGAAAUCUGGAAUAGAAGGAAGACUGGGAAUUGGAGAAUGCUGACCUUUUUGUUUCUUCAUUUUUCUCUCAAAUGACUAACAUGAACCUCUUAUGAAGAUCUGGGAGAGCCUGUUUGGUUUAUGCUUAGUAGUGCUUUAGUUAUAUGAAUUUUGGAGGUGUUUGUGACUGGUCUUUUGGAGGCUUUAUAAAUGUUUGGUUGAGUGUUAUGUUCUUGUGAGGUAGAGAUUUUGGUCCUUUUUUUUUGGGUUGUCCAGUGAUCAUGUUAAAAGGACUCUCCUUUUCUCUUUUCAAAUUUAAGUAGCAAAUAUGCGAGUAAAAAUAUUAAGAUGUUAGUUGGAUUGCUUUGCUUCUUUAGUAGUCAUUUAUCGCAUUUGCUUGCAAAAGACAUAGUGAGACUGGAGCUGUUUUCAUAUUCUUCUCCAGAGGACAUUGUUGCUGGCAUCUGUUUUGUUGGCGAACUAGAGAAGAUGUUGAUCUAUUAUUGGUGCAAAUCUUAAUCUUUUAUUGUGUAUUUUUUCUAACUUAUCGUCUACCAAUAUCUGAAGUUGAAGAGUAUUACUUACAUGGUUUUGUUAUAAAAGCUUGUGAGACGUUUCCAGUAUGAGUCUUUAGCAUCUAUGCGGGUUUGUAGUCAUUGUGUAAUUUGGUUUUGUUGCAUUUGACUUUCAUUUUCAUGAAAUAUUAUCAACAAAAUCUUUUUCCCUAAUGUUGCAAAUCUUCUUAGAUGGGCUUCGG